rnacentral:rRNA from 1 species
UGGUACCUACGGGGCGCAGCAGUGGGGAAUAUUGCACAAUGGGGGAAACCCUGAUGCAGCGACGCCGCGUGAGCGAAGAAGUAUUUCGGUAUGUAAAGCUCUAUCAGCAGGGAAGAAAAAUGACGGUACCUGAGUAAGAAGCCCCGGCUAACUACGUGCCAGCAGCCGCGGUAAUACGUAGGGGGCAAGCGUUAUCCGGAAUUACUGGGUGUAAAGGGAGCGUAGACGGUUAAGUAAGUCUGGAGUGAAAGGCCGGGGCCCAACCCCGGG